UCCCUGGUAGUCUAGUGGUUAAGACUCCAUGCUCCCAAUGCAGGGAGCCUGGGUUCGAUCCCUGAUCAGGGAG
rnacentral:tRNA from 1 species